rnacentral:rRNA from 1 species
AUGGCGCUGCUGCAGCUGCAUCCGCCGCCGCUGGCGGCGCUCGGUCGCUCCGUUCUCCCCUGCCGCCCGUUCCCCUCCGCGACCGCGACCGCCCGCCGCUCCCUCGCCUCGGUCGCCUUCUCUCUCCAGACCAACGUGCGCCUCCUCAAGCCCAACCGCCGCUCCCGGCGCUCCCGCUACCCCUACUACGACCUCGACGACGAUGAAGAGGAAGAAGAUGAGGAGUACGACGAGGACGACGAGAGCGAGGACGAUUUGUCAGGUUUGGAGUAUCCUGGUGUCCUUUAUACAAACAACCCGCGUGCUCCGAACAAGAGAGCAGGACGAAAAACACAACUGGUGAAAGAAAAUUGGGAAGGAAGGCGGCCCAAAACUCGUGAUAAACAUGCUAGUCCAGGAAGGUCUAAUUCCCUCCACCCCAGGAGCAAAAUAAACAGAACAUUGCUGAAUCUUACAAGCAUGAACAGUAAAGUAGAGUUGAAAAAUGAAAGUAUCUCUCGGAGUCUGUUUCAAAAAUUGCAAGAAGAAUAUGACUUUGAUGACAAAUGGUUACCCCUUAUUGAUUACCUGUGCUCAUUUGGACUGAGGGAAUCCCAUUUUACUUACAUUUAUGAGAGACACAUGGCUUGCUUGCAAAUCAACCGGGCUUCUGCAGAAGAAAGGUUGGAGUUCCUUCUAAGUGUUGGUGUUAAAAGCAAGGAUCUGAAGAGGAUGCUGGUCAGACAGCCGCAAAUUUUGGAAUACACUCUCAGCAAUCUGAAGUCUCAUGUUGCUUUUUUGGCUGGCAUUGGUGUUCCGGAUGCACGUAUGGGGCAAAUUAUUUCUUCUGCCCCUUCAUUUUUAUCUUACAGUAUUGAGCAGUCCCUGAAGCCAACUAUAAGCUAUUUGAUUGAGGAAGUGGGUAUUGAGGAGAGCGAUGUGGGGAAAGUGGUGCAGCUAAGCCCUCAGAUUCUGGUGCAGCGAAUUGAUAAUGCGUGGAAAUCUCGAUUUCUUUUUCUCUCAAAAGAACUAGGGGCUCCCAAAGAUAGCAUUGUCAAAAUGGUCACAAAGCACCCACAGCUGCUUCAUUACAGCAUUGAGGAGGGCAUCUUGCCUCGAAUCAAUUUCCUUAGAAGCAUUGGCAUGAGAAACUCUGAUAUUCUCAAAAUAUUGACAAGUCUUACUCAGGUGCUAUCUUUGUCGGUGGAGAAAAAUCUCAAACCAAAGUAUCUUUAUUUGGUCAAUGACCUUAAGAAUGAGGCUCAAUCCCUGACGAAGUACCCCAUGUACUUGAGCUUGUCUCUCGAGCAGAGAAUUCGUCCCCGUCACCGUUUUCUUGUUUCAUUGAAGAAAGCUCCAAAGGGCCCAUUUCCUCUUAGCUCCUUUGUGCUUACAGAUGAGCGUUUUUGCCAGCGGUUGGCUGGGACGAGCUUAGAGAAGUACCAUACAUUUAGACAGAGCUUGCUGCUGUCAGGUUUCGAAGAUAAGACUGGAAGGAAACCAUUGGCAUCACGACGGUAG